rnacentral:lncRNA from 1 species
CCGUCACCUGCAUCACCACCGAACAGCCCGCGUGUCGUUCUUCCCCAAGUCCGGCGGUCUUCUCCUGUUUCUCCGGUGAGCAACCCUCACCCGUCCGAUCUACUUUAAACGGUCAGGAUUAGAUCAGUUUCUUUCUAUUUAAAGCCAAACUGGUAUGCACUAAUUACCCGCUGUCCGUUAGUUAGCCACCACAGCGAAUUCCGUCCACCGAAUCCCGUGCUGCCACGUGGCCCUGCUACAGGACCAGGAGUUUCCGGUCGUUCUUUUUUUUUUUUUUGAUUUACACCUAACACUUCAAAUGGGUAUAUCCUUUAUUCCAUAACUUCAAUUUAGGUGAUUCUUUUUUCCUAUGCAUUCACAAAAACCAACACUUUAUCACAGUACCAAAGUUUCACGUGUUUGCACUAUUUAAAUUUGAAUUGCUCAAAAUUGAAUGCAAACUUCCGGAGGCCAUAUCUUUCAAACCGUUGAUCCAAAUUAGUUGAUUCUUUUUGCAUUGUGUUCCUACUAGCAUGUAGAUAAGAUAUACUUAUUGAUAUGUUCUGUUAUUUAAAUUUUAUUUGGAUUCAUUGCUGUUGACUUUAUUUUGGUGUUAUGUGAGUACGGUUUAUUUAUCGGUGCCUUCGUUAUGGUAUAGAUUGUCCGGAGUGUGAAGCGGAUCAGAAUUAAGCAUUAGAGUACUUCAACAUCGUUCAAGGCAAGUUUGCACUUUAAUUUUGCUCAUCCUAUAUUCUACUAUGCAAGUGUGGUUUUAUGUUAUGUUAUAUGUUUGGCUUGAUAUGUGUAUUCUGUGUUACCAUGUUUUGUUGUUGAUUGUGGUAUGUGAUGGUGUGAUCAACUUGCUAUGGUAGACGCGGGCAUGUGUUGAGUGAUCCAUGAAAGUGGUGAUUGUUUAUAGCCAUAGGCUCGGGAUCAUUAACCAGGUGAAUGUGUCACUGGCAGAGCGCUCUAUUGUCCCUAGAGAAUGCGCCAUUGACAGAGCUCACUUGAGGCGAGGUAUAGUUUUCAGAAUGUAAAUCAGGUGAAUGUGUCCUUGGUAGAGCGCUCUAUUGCUCCUAGAGAAUGUGCCACUGACAGAGCGCACUUGAGAGAUACUUCUGAAGUUCUUGUCAUGUUUAUUUAGAAUCUUUGGGUUAUCUUGGGUGAGUAAAUUAGAGACGGUUGUGAGUUCAAGUAGUGGAGGUAGGUGAAGUUCUUCUCCAAACUAACUUGUGUGUUUUGUUUGUCAUACAUUGCUUUGUGGAUGUAGGUUUGCUAUAUCAUAUUGUGCGAUUUGCCAAUACAUUCAAUGUAUUGACCCUUUGUGGCUGCAACUUAUCAUGUUGCAGGAUUUUCAAAUGAUCGGUGAGAUACAGUAGGGUCGCGAGUCUUCACUCAACAUUUUCGCCAAUGGGCAUUGAUGGGAUUCAUCGUUUGCUUAUGCUACAUUUUCGCUGUUAGUAUUGAAUAAAGUUAGCUAUGUGCUACUCAGUUUGUAAUACUUUAUGAAUUCUGGAUCAUACGUUAUAGUAAAU